rnacentral:rRNA from 1 species
CUCGUAGGCGGUUCGUCGCGUCCGGUGUGAAAGUCCAUCGCUUAACGGUGGAUCCGCGCCGGGUACGGGCGGGCUUGAGUGCGGUAGGGGAGACUGGAAUUCCUGGUGUAACGGUGGAAUGUGUAGAUAUCGGGAAGAACACCAAUGGCGAAGGCAGGUCUCUGGGCCGUCACUGACGCUGAGGAGCGAAAGCGUGGGGAGCGAACA